GUGGGGAAUUUUGGACAAUGGGCGCAAGCCUGAUCCAGCAAUGCCGUGUGCAGGAAGAAGGCCUUCGGGUUGUAAACUGCUUUUGUACGGAACGAAACGGUCCGGGUUAAUACCCUGGGCUAAUGACGGUACCGUAAGAAUAAGCACCGGCUAACUACGUGCCAGCAGCCGCGGUAAUACGUAGGGUGCAAGCGUUAAUCGGAAUUACUGGGCGUAAAGCGUGCGCAGGCGGUUUUGUAAGACAGUGGUGAAAUCCCCGGGCUCAACCUGGGAACUGCCAUUGUGACUGCAAGGCUAGAGUGCGGCAGAGGGGGAUGGAAUUCCGCGUGUAGCAGUGAAAUGCGUAGAUAUGCGGAGGAACACCGAUGGCGAAGGCAAUCCCCUGGGCCUGCACUGACGCUCAUGCACGAAAGCGUGGGGAGCAAACAGGAUUAGAAACCCCGGUAGUCC
rnacentral:rRNA from 1 species